AGAGCGGGCUAGACAGUCGCCGCCGGGGUUCGCCCCGGGGGAGGAAAGUCCGGGCUCCAUAGGGCAGAGUGCCAGGUAACCCCUGGGCGGCGCGAGCCGACGGAAAGUGCAGCAGAGAGUAGACCGCCUACGCAGGCCCGGCUCGCCGGGCUGCCGGCAAGGGUGAAAGGGUGCGGUAAGAGCGCACCGCGCGGCUGGCAACAGGCGUGGCAUGGUAAACCCCACUCGGAGCAAGACCGAAUAGGAACCCGAUGGCGCGGCCCGCGCUUGGGUUCGGGUAGGUUGCUUGAGGUGUACGGUGACGUACAUCCUAGAGGAAUGACUGUCCACGACAGAACCCGGCUUAUCGGCCGGCUCUCUCC
rnacentral:RNase_P_RNA from 1 species